rnacentral:lncRNA from 1 species
AAGAUGUUUCGCAUAUCUGUCAGGGUCUAAGCAUUAUCUGUUUCUGUUGUUCUGAUGAAGGAAACUUGUGUUGGGGAGGAUUCAGUGUCUGUUGAGGCCCAUGUGAAUGUGCUACAAAGUGAGUGUCGGAAAACACAUCCAGACACCUGGACUGUCAAAGACCACACAGCACAAACAUUCUCUUGGAGACGUGGAGAAAGCACGGAAGGAAUGUCUGUGGAGGAUGUACUCAAAAAACACCCAUACUUAAGGACACUUGAUGGAGGGGAGUCCUGCUACACCCUUUCCUACCAUACAACUGAUGGAUACUGACUGUAAAAUGGCAAUCAUAGGAGGAGGGUUCAGUGUGGUGACAGAAGAUGGAAUAGACGUGUGUCAGUGCACCAGCCUUGAUGAAGCCUUCAUAACAGCCUUCUGGAUGUAUUUUGCUUUCAACAUUGCAUAUCCAACACACCUGAGAAAGACACUGACUUUCCUUCAGAGGCACAUUGUCAACAUUAAAAGAGGGAGACAAGCACUGCCAGUAACUUUACUCUGAAUGAUUAGCCUUUUGUAUUAGAUCCUCAUGCAUCGACUGUACCAUUGCCCAAAGUGCACUCGAAGGACAUUCACUUUUUUGAAGUUAAUCCAACAUGUUGGAGUUGUACAUGCACAUGAACCAAAAAUUAGUAUAACCUAUGGUAUAGAUGAGUGCCAAUCACCUUUUUUUGUGAUUCCAUUCUUUUAGAAAACAUGCACAGGAAGCAUAUGUACUUUUCGUAACAAAAAUGACUGUCUCAGUGAAGAGUCAGCAGUACAGUUGUCUUAUAAUAUAAUGGAGAAGGGUCUGGCUGCAGACUUGCACUUGCACUCUCAGACUUGCACUCUCAGACACUUGCGCUUCUGCUAGUGACAACACUUGCAGUCUUUUUUAUUUUAUAUUUAGUUCUACUUAUUGGUUACUUUUUGUUUGAAUGUGAGGAAGACCUACAGAGUGAGUUGGAGCUCAGCAGGUGUGAUGGCUGUGGAUGCAUCUACAAAAACACCACUGGAUACUGUAGCCAUGGAAAGAAGGGGGUCUUCACAGCUUUCUAUUCAGACAAAGAGUUUGCUGGAUUCUGUUCUAUGGACUGCUACUACAGAAUGAAUGAAUGAGUGGUUUAUCUAUCUAUCUAUCUAUCUACCACAUCUUUUUUACAUUUUUUUUACUUGAAUUGGCGACUGAAACUGAAAGCUAAAUAAAUGUUUUAGUGGAUAAAGUUGUGUCUGUUUGCUUAUGUCACUUAACAUAAGGUUACUAAACUCUUCUGACUAAUUUUUAUAUUUGAUAAUUUAGUGGUUUUGUCAACUAUAUUUUUCUCUAUCAGGCAAAACAUAGUUUUCGAGGGUAACACUUUACAAUAAGGUUUCAUUUGUUGACACUGAUGUAUUAACUAACAUUAACUAUGAGCAAUACAUUUGAUACAGUAUUUAUUAAACUUUGUUAGUUAAUAAAAAUACAGCUGUUCUUUGUUUGUUCUUGUUAGUUCACUUAAAAGUGCAUUAACUAAUGUUAACAAAUACAACUUUUGACUUUAACUUAAGAACAUCUAGUGCGAGAAACCGUGUUAAGAGCCGUUUGUAUUCUCGAAAAAGAAUUGUAAUUUGUUUUUGAUUAUUGAUAAAUCAAGACCUAAACCUCGCCCCUCCCCACCCCCCAAUCAUUCGAAUUUCCUUAGGAGGGAAUUAUUUUAAUGAUAUUCUAAUUAGCCUUUUUCACACUUCCAUGUUUCUAGCUUCCGGAUUGGCGCUUGCAGGGUAAAAGUUUUUCCGGUGACAACUGCUGCCGUACUUAACAAGAAUGAGUUACCCUGCGCUGGAAUAAUAACCGAUGUUUCGUGAAAAAGGCUAAUAGACCACUUUGUGAUAUCACAAACCCUGGAAAACAAACGCUGUAGUCUAAACGAGCCGUUCGUUGUAGUUCUUGAAAAGGGAGACAGACUUUUUUGGAGUGGACUUUAAGAUUUGUAAGUAU